rnacentral:rRNA from 1 species
AGAGUUUGAUCCUGGCUCAGGAUGAACGCUAGCUACAGGCUUAACACAUGCAAGUCGAGGGGCAGCAUUUCAGUUUGCUUGCAAACUGGAGAUGGCGACCGGCGCACGGGUGAGUAACACGUAUCCAACCUGCCGAUAACUCGGGGAUAGCCUUUCGAAAGAAAGAUUAAUACCCGAUGGUAUAAUCAGACCGCAUGGUCUUGUUAUUAAAGAAUUUCGGUUAUCGAUGGGGAUGCGUUCCAUUAGGCAGUUGGUGAGGUAACGGCUCACCAAACCUUCGAUGGAUAGGGGUUCUGAGAGGAAGGUCCCCCACAUUGGAACUGAGACACGGUCCAAACUCCUACGGGAGGCAGCAGUGAGGAAUAUUGGUCAAUGGACGCGAGUCUGAACCAGCCAAGUAGCGUGAAGGAUGACUGCCCUAUGGGUUGUAAACUUCUUUUAUAUGGGAAUAAAGUUUUCCACGUGUGGAAUUUUGUAUGUACCAUAUGAAUAAGGAUCGGCUAACUCCGUGCCAGCAGCCGCGGUAAUACGGAGGAUCCGAGCGUUAUCCGGAUUUAUUGGGUUUAAAGGGAGCGUAGGUGGACAGUUAAGUCAGUUGUGAAAGUUUGCGGCUCAACCGUAAAAUUGCAGUUGAUACUGGCUGUCUUGAGUACAGUAGAGGUGGGCGGAAUUCGUGGUGUAGCGGUGAAAUGCUUAGAUAUCACGAAGAACUCCGAUUGCGAAGGCAGCUCACUGGACUGCAACUGACACUGAUGCUCGAAAGUGUGGGUAUCAAACAGGAUUAGAUACCCUGGUAGUCCACACAGUAAACGAUGAAUACUCGCUGUUUGCGAUAUACAGUAAGCGGCCAAGCGAAAGCAUUAAGUAUUCCACCUGGGGAGUACGCCGGCAACGGUGAAACUCAAAGGAAUUGACGGGGGCCCGCACAAGCGGAGGAACAUGUGGUUUAAUUCGAUGAUACGCGAGGAACCUUACCCGGGCUUAAAUUGCAUUUGAAUAUAUUGGAAACAGUAUAGUCGUAAGACAAAUGUGAAGGUGCUGCAUGGUUGUCGUCAGCUCGUGCCGUGAGGUGUCGGCUUAAGUGCCAUAACGAGCGCAACCCUUAUCUUUAGUUACUAACAGGUCAUGCUGAGGACUCUAGAGAGACUGCCGUCGUAAGAUGUGAGGAAGGUGGGGAUGACGUCAAAUCAGCACGGCCCUUACGUCCGGGGCUACACACGUGUUACAAUGGGGGGUACAGAAGGCAGCUACCUGGUGACAGGAUGCUAAUCCCAAAAGCCUCUCUCAGUUCGGAUCGAAGUCUGCAACCCGACUUCGUGAAGCUGGAUUCGCUAGUAAUCGCGCAUCAGCCAUGGCGCGGUGAAUACGUUCCCGGGCCUUGUACACACCGCCCGUCAAGCCAUGAAAGCCGGGGGUACCUGAAGUACGUAACCGCAAGGAGCGUCCUAGGGUAAAACUGGUAAUUGGGGCUAAGUCGUAACAAGGUAGCCGUACCGGAAGGUGCGGCUG